rnacentral:rRNA from 1 species
AUUGAACGCUGGCGGAAUGCUUUACACAUGCAAGUCGAGCGGCAGCGCGGCCUUCGGGCUGGCGGCGAGCGGCGAACGGGUGAGUAAUGCAUCGGAACAUGCCCAGUCGUGGGGGGAUAACACUUCGAAAGAAGUGCUAAUACCGCAUACGUCCUGAGGGGGAAAGCGGGGGAUCGCAAGACCUCGCGCGAUUGGAGUGGCCGAUGUCAGAUUAGCUAGUUGGUGGGGUAAAGGCCUACCAAGGCGACGAUCUGUAGCUGGUCUGAGAGGAUGAUCAGCCACACUGGGACUGAGACACGGCCCAGACUCCUACGGGAGGCAGCAGUGGGGAAUUUUGGACAAUGGGGGCAACCCUGAUCCAGCCAUUCCGCGUGAGUGAAGAAGGCCUUCGGGUUGUAAAGCUCUUUCGGCAGGAACGAAGCGGUGGGCUCUAACAUAGUCCGCUAAUGGCGGUACCUGAAGAAGAAGCACCGGCUAACUACGUG